rnacentral:SRP_RNA from 1 species
UGCCGUGCUAAGUGGGGAGGUAGCGGUUCCCUGUACUUACAAUCCGCUUAGGUAAGACCUAAUUCCUUUGCUGAGGUUAAUAAGUUGUGAGGUCUGACCUGAACACGUAGUGUUGAGAGAGCGGUCCUAGUCAAUAUAAACCCAUGAAUCAUGUCAGGUCCGGAAGGAAGCAGCAUUAAGUGGUCAUUUGUAUGUGACUAGGGUAGCCGUUCUUGAGCUGUCGGUUUAGGUAACGCUUGUGCUUGUUAUUCGAAGCGAAGGUGCACGGUU